GGGUGCUUGAGACUUUCUGUCUUAAGCAUUAUGUUUCAGGCAGAAAGAGAAAAGCCCCAUCCGACUAUAAAUCGAAAUGAGGCUACCCCUAUGCCUAGCAACGUAAGGCUAGCCUCUUACCUGAUAAAAAGCAAGGAGAGAAGGCUAUGAAG
rnacentral:antisense_RNA from 22 species